CCUACGGGUGGCAGCAGUGAGGAAUAUUGGUCAAUGGGAGAGAUCCUGAACCAGCCAAGCCGCGUGAGGGAAUACGGCCCUAUGGGUUGUAAACCUCUUUUGUCGGAGAACAAAACCCGGGACGAGUCCCGGACUGCGUUUAUCCGACGAAAAAGCAUCGGCUAACUCCGUGCCAGCAGCCGCGGUAAUACGGAGGAUGCGAGCGUUAUCCGGAUUUAUUGGGUUUAAGGGGUGCGUAGGCGGUAUGUUAAGUACGCGGUAAAAUUGCAGGGAGGAACCCCGUCGAGCAGGUGAAACGUGCAGACUUGAGUUGGCGAGAAGUACGCGGAAUGCGCGGGGUAGCGGUGAAAUGCAGAGA
rnacentral:rRNA from 1 species